AUGUAAUGUAAUGCCUACAACAUUAAUGCACCGGAUCCCAUUAGAACUUUGUGGUUAAGCGUGCUUGGGAUAGAGUAGUAUUGGGUUGGGUGACCUCUUGGGAAGUUCGAGUGUUUUACAUG
rnacentral:rRNA from 1 species